rnacentral:rRNA from 1 species
UACGGAGGGGGGCGAGCGUUAUUCGGAAUUAUUGGGCGUAAAGGGCGCGUAGGUGGCCCUGUAAGUCAAAGGUGAAAUCCCUCGGCUCAACCGAGGAAUUGCCCUUGAAACUGCAGGCUUGAGGCCGGGAGGGGGUAGGCGGAAUUCCCGGUGUAGCAGUGAAAUGCGUAGAGAUCGGGAGGAACAUCUGUGGCGAAGGCGGCAUCCUGGACCGACACUGACGCUGAGGCGCGAAAGCUAGGGUAGCAAACGGG